GACGAACGCUGGCGGCGUGCCUAAUACAUGCAAGUAGGACGCAGAUGCGAAAGGGUGAGUAACGCGUAGGUCAAUGCCUAUUAGAGGGGGAUAACGACUGGAAACGAUAGCUAAUACCGCAUACAAGGAGAUGGACCUGCGUUGUAUUGGCUAGGAGGUAGGGUAAUGGCCUACCUAGGCGACGAUACAUCGCAGACUUGGGAGGGUGAUCCGCCACACUUGGACUGAGACACGGCCCAGACGCCUACGGGAGGCAGCAGGAGGGAAUCUUGGGCCAUUGGUGGAAACCUGACCGAGCAACGCCGCGUGAGUGAAGAAGGUUUUCGGAGCGUAAAGCUCUGUUGUUAAGGAAGCGGUACUUAACCAGAAAGGGACGGCUAACUACGUGCCAGCAGCCGCGGUAAUUC
rnacentral:rRNA from 1 species